rnacentral:rRNA from 1 species
UAUUAUUUAAAUUGUAAGAUUGUUCCUUGAGUAGUAUUAGUUAAGAUCUUGAAACUCAAAGAAUUUGGCGGUGUUAUAGUCUUUCCAGAGGAAUCUGUCCUGUAAUCGAUAUUACACGUUAAAUGUGUCUUAGCUUGGUUUGUCAGUUUGUAUAUCGUCGUCAUAAGAUUAUCUUUUUAGAGAUUUAAUUUUCUUAAUCCUUUAUAAAGUUGAAUGACAGAUCAAGGUGCAGCUUAUAGCUAAGAAUGAGAUGGAUUACAAUAAAUUUAUUUAUUACGGAUUUUUGAUGAUAUUUGUUGAUGAAGGUGGAUUUGGUAGUAAAUUAUAAUAAAUUAUGUUGUAUUGAUUUUAAGCUCUAUAAUGUGUACAAAUCGCCCGUCGCUCUCAUGAUAUAUGAG